GUAGGUGCAAGCGUUGUCCGGAAUUAUUGGGCGUAAAGCGCGCGCAGGCGGUUCUUUAAGUCUGAUGUGAAAGCCCACGGCUCAACCGUGGAGGGUCAUUGGAAACUGGAGAACUUGAGUACAGAAGAGGAAAGCGGAAUUCCACGUGUAGCGGUGAAAUGCGUAGAGAUGUGGAGGAACACCAGUGGCGAAGGCGGCUUUCUGGUCUGUAACUGACGCUGAGGCGCGAAAGCGUGGGGAGCAAACAGGGAUCAGAUACCCUGGUAGUCCACGCCGUAAACGAUGAGUGCUAAGUGUUAGGGGGUUUCCGCCCCCCUUAGUGCUGCAGCUAACGCAUUAAGCACUCCGCCUGGGAGUACGGCCGCAAGGCUG
rnacentral:rRNA from 1 species